GUUAGUCUGAACCUUCGGGGAACGAUAACGGCGUCGAGCGGCGGACGGGUGAGUAAUGCCUGGGAAAUUGCCCUGAUGUGGGGGAUAACCAUUGGAAACGAUGGCUAAUACCGCAUAAUAGCUUCGGCUCAAAGAGGGGGACCUUCGGGCCUCUCGCGUCAGGAUAUGCCCAGGUGGGAUUAGCUAGUUGGUGAGGUAAUGGCUCACCAAGGCGACGAUCCCUAGCUGGUCUGAGAGGAUGAUCAGCCACACUGGAACUGAGACACGGUCCAGACUCCUACGGGAGGCAGCAGUGGGGAAUAUUGCACAAUGGGCGCAAGCCUGAUGCAGCCAUGCCGCGUGUAUGAAGAAGGCCUUCGGGUUGUAAAGUACUUUCAGCAGUGAGGAAGGUGGAUGUGUUAAUAGCGCAUUCAUUUGACGUUAGCUGCAGAAGAAGCACCGGCUAACUCCGUGCCAGCAGCCGCGGUAAUACGGAGGGUGCGAGCGUUAAUCGGAAUUACUGGGCGUAAAGCGCAUGCAGGUGGUUUGUUAAGUCAGAUGUGAAAGCCCGGGGCUCAACCUCGGAAUAGCAUUUGAAACUGGCAGACUAGAGUACUGUAGAGGGGGGUAGAAUUUCAGGUGUAGCGGUGAAAUGCGUAGAGAUCUGAAGGAAUACCGGU
rnacentral:rRNA from 1 species